GAUGAACGCUGGCGGCGUGCCUAAUACAUGCAAGUCGAGCGAACAGACGAGGAGCUUGCUCCUUUGACGUUAGCGGCGGACGGGUGAGUAACACGUAGGUAACCUACCUAUAAGACUGGGAUAACUUCGGGAAACCGGAGCUAAUACCGGAUAAUAUUUCGAACCGCAUGGUUCGAUAGUGAAAGAUGGCUUUGCUAUCACUUAUAGAUGUACCUGCGCCGUAUUAGCUAGUUGGUAAGGUAACGGCUUACCAAGGCAACGAUACGUAGCCGACCUGAGAGGGUGAUCGGCCACACUGGAACUGAGACACGGUCCAGACUCCUACGGGAGGCAGCAGUAGGGAAUCUUCCGCAAUGGGCGAAAGCCUGACGGAGCAACGCCGCGUGAGUGAUGAAGGUCUUCGGAUCGUAAAACUCUGUUAUUAGGGAAGAACAAACGUGUAAGUAACUGUGCACGUCUUGACGGUACCUAAUCAGAAAGCCACGGCUAACUACGUGCCAGCCGCCGCCGUAACAC
rnacentral:rRNA from 1 species